CAAGCUUUCUCGCAAGGGAAGUCUUCUUGAUCACCAAGUGACAAUCCUCCUUAAUCUAUACGGUAUAACUAAAUUAUAAAUUCUGUCUUACUUAGCCUGUUUCCAACACUUUAUGAACUCAGUGUUUACAGAGAUGUGCCAAACUUCCUUUCCUUUUAGCCAAAGAUCAAACUGUCUAUCUGAGUAGUGAGCUGUUCUCCCAGCAGUGAGUUCUGAAGAACUGCUCAGUAAUUUUCCUGCUCACUGAUGAGACACCUUUCCAGCUUCUUCGAAAUCAAGAUGUUUCAAAUCUUCCAUAAAUCUCCAAGACUGAUCAGAGGGAAAGCCAGGAACAAUCAGCCUCUGAGCCUCUGCCCCAGAAGUUAGACAUCUCUUCUUCAAUCAAAGAAGAAACAUUUAUUAAGAAUCUAUUAUGAUUUGAGAACUGUCUUGGGCCCUGAAAAUAGAAAGAUAAAAAUGAAAGAAUCUUUCUGAUGAAAGAGUUUAUCUUCUAUAGAAAAAGAUAUCAUGCAAAUACGAAUAUCUAAAAUAUAAAUAAAUAAAUAUUUAUUAUAAUGGAA